rnacentral:lncRNA from 1 species
UAUCUUUAAGAGGAGGGCUCUCUGACGCUCAAAUGUUACUACGUAAAUAGCAACACUCUUCUGAGCUCUGAAUAGCUGUACGACCAAACAAACUGGAGGACAUCAAGAAAGGAAGGGAGAAAGUUUUUUCCCUGGGAAAAUUAUCAUCAUGGAGGAGAUGUUAUUUGCAGGAGUCCUGUUCUCACAGUGCUAUGGGGUUUAGAGAUCCUUGCUGCUGCUGCUGACUGAUGAAAUGCAAAAUUAAUACUUCAUCAAGGGAAGCCCUUGACAAAGCUGCAGCAAGUGGCACAGAGGUACGUGGAAAGUCUUCCAGCCCUCCAGGAGCACGCCUGAACCAAAGUGAAAUGUGUCAGCACCGCCGCAAGUGAACAGCUCCUCCAAAUAGCUCAGAGUGCGAGUCGUAAUACACAACAUUAAAGUCAUCACUGCCUCCGUAGAUCUGGAAGGUAUUGUCUCUAGAGGCUAAGGGAACAUAAACAACAAUGGCAAAAACAAAGGCAAGAAACGCUGUAUUUCAUACCAAUUAAAGUGUAUUUCUGACACUUUGCAGAGGCACUGUGCGCUCAACUCUCUUGAGAGGUCUGCUGCUGAAGCUGUGAUGUGGCUCCUGCCUUCACAGCUCCUUCCUGCCUCACCAAGUAAUUAUAUUUGCUGAGAGCUUUGCUUCCUAUUGUUCCCAUAACAUACUCAGCAUAGGAAAAGCGAGACGUGCCUUUUGGGAGGAAAGGAAUGGUGGGUAGUGAAUGAGUAUGGCAAGAACUGGAGCUUGCACAAUGAUCAGUCCUCAUGCUGGAUAGAGAAAAUCAGCAGGAGACAUCUUCCACUGGAAAAUGCUGAUUUGGCAAUGUUAUUGAGGCUCUGGGAAUAGGCUGGAAGCUAGGCCAGCUGGCAGCC